rnacentral:lncRNA from 1 species
GCGGGUAUAAGUUUCAACACUUGGGAAGACGUGAGCGAGCGUUGUGACGUGGAUGGUUUGGGUCUAAAAAAGCCAUAGUAAGAGUUAGUUGGAGUCGUGUAGGCGAUACUUGUUGCAAUUAACAAGGAGGAAAAUCAACGUAAAAAAUAAAAGAAUGUGAAAAAGUGGUGCAACACGAGAACUUCCCANGAGGUCACCCAUCCUAGUACUACUCUCACCCACGCACGCUUAUCUUCGGAGUUUUGAUGGUAUCUGGUGCAUUAGUGCUGGUAUGAUUGCACCUUAAGUAUUGCACCAACAAUGUAUAUAUGGUUUCGAUAGCGGGUAUAAGUUUCAACACUUGGGAAGAUGUGAGCGAGCGAUGUGCGUGGAUGGUUUAGGUCCGAAAAAGCCGUAGUAAGAAUUAAUUGGAGUUGUGUUGGCGGUACUUGUUGAAAUUAACAAGGUGGAAAAUCAACGUAAAAAAUAAAAGAAUGUGAAAAAGUGGUGCAACACGAGGACUUCCCAGGAGGUCACCCAUCCUAGUAUUAGUCUCGCCCAAGUACGCU